GUGGAUUAGAUACCCUGGUAGUCCACACCGUAAACGUUGGGCGCUAGGUGUGGGAUCCAUUCCACGGGUUCCGUGCCGCAGCUAACGCAUUAAGCGCCCCGCCUGGGGAGUACGGCCGCAAGGCUAAAACUCAAAGGAAUUGACGGGGGCCCGCACAAGCGGCGGAGCAUGCGGAUUAAUUCGAUGCAACGCGAAGAACCUUACCUGGGUUUGACAUACACCGGAAAGCAUCAGAGAUGGUGCCCCUUUGGUCGGUGUACAGGUGGUGCAUGGCUGUCGCCAGCU
rnacentral:rRNA from 1 species